UACGGGGGGGGCAAGCGUUGUUCGGAAUUACUGGGCGUAAAGGGCUCGUAGGCGGCCAACUAAGUCGGAUGUGAAAUCCCCAGGCUUAACCUGGGAACUGCAUCCGAUACUGGAUGGCUUGAAUCCGGGAGAGGGAUGCAGAAUUCCAGGUGUAGCGGUGAAAUGCGUAGAUAUCUGGAGGAAUACCGGUGGCGAAGGCGGCAUCCUGGACCGGCAUUGACGCUGAGGCGCGAAAGCUAGGGGAGCAAACGGGG
rnacentral:rRNA from 1 species